AAAAAGAAGGUGUAACUAUUGGCACGCAGGUUUUUGGUUCCUGAGGGAACACAUCAAUGUGUUUCUUUUUA
rnacentral:tRNA from 1 species